rnacentral:rRNA from 1 species
UACGUAGGGUGCAAGCGUUGUCCGGAAUUAUUGGGCGUAAAGAGCUUGUAGGCGGUUUGUCGCGUCUGCUGUGAAAUUUCGGGGCUCAACCCCGAACUUGCAGUGGGUACGGGCAGACUAGAGUGUGGUAGGGGAGACUGGAAUCCCUGGUGUAGCGGUGAAAUGCGCAGAUAUCAGGAGGAACACCAAUUGCGAAGGCAGCUCGCUGGGACGUUACUGACGCUGAGACGCGAAAGCGUGGGGAGCAAACAGG